CCUACGGGUGGCAGCAGUGGGGAAUAUUGGACAAUGGGCGAAAGCCUGAUCCAGCCAUGCCGCGUGUGUGAAGAAGGCCUUCGGGUUGUAAAGCACUUUCAGUGGGGAAGAAAGCCUUGGGGCUAAUACCCUCGAGGAAGGACAUCACCCACAGAAGAAGCACCGGCUAACUCCGUGCCAGCAGCCGCGGUAAUACGGAGGGUGCGAGCGUUAAUCGGAAUUACUGGGCGUAAAGCGCGCGUAGGCGGUCUGAUAAGCCUGUUGUGAAAGCCCCGGGCUCAACCUGGGAACGGCAUCCGGAACUGUCAGGCUAGAGUGCAGGAGAGGAAGGUAGAAUUCCCGGUGUAGCGGUGAAAUGCGUAGAGAUCGGGAGGAAUACCAGUGGCGAAGGCGGCCUUCUGGACUGACACUGACGCUGAGGUGCGAAAGCGUGGGUAGCAAACAGGAUUAGAUACCCCUGUAGUC
rnacentral:rRNA from 1 species